rnacentral:lncRNA from 1 species
AUGUACUGCGAGAAGUGGAGGCCUGUGGCGGAGAUGUGUCUCUUCCUCGAAGACCUGCGGGAGGGCUCGCGCAUCCUAUGCCUCUGCUCGCGGGCGUUUGUGGAAGAUCGGAAAUUGUACAAUUUGGGACUAAAAGGCUACUAUGUUAAAGACGAUGACAGCAGUGCAGGAGAACAAGCCGCGGAAGAGGAGGAAGGAGGCCACUCCCAGGGCCCUGCAGAGCCCCACGACAACAGAUGCCCAGACCCAGAUGAGAGUGAACUGGAUUCCGAGGCUGAACUCAUGAGGAGUAUGGGAUUGCCCCUUCAAUUCGGUAGGAUGUCCGCACAUAAGAAUUUUGAGGAAUCUAUGAAUACUAGGAGAAAAGUUAAAAUAAUGAAAAAGAAAAAGAAAAAAUAUCAAAAAAAGUACUUAGAUGAGAUUAAGAGAGAAUCCUGGAGACAAUGUGAAGAAGAUGACAUUUCAGCUUCGGACGAUCCUUCUUCAUCUGAGAAUGAGAACACUAGAAAGUACAAAGUUCAAAGCCAAAAAGACCUUGAGGCUGAAAGUUUUCCCGUUGAAAACACAGUAGGUCCAAAGCUGGAAGUUACAGAGAUGUGGGAAAAGUACUGGAAUGAAUACGGUGGAGGACUGCUGUGGCAAAGCUGGGAAGAGAAACAUGCAGAUCAGACCCUGUGUCCAGAACCAUGGAAUGUUCCAGACACAAAGGAGGAGUGGGAGCAGCACUACAGUCAGAUGUAUUGGUACUAUCUGGAACAGUUUCAGUACUGGGAAGCUCAGGGCUGGACUUUUGAUGCCUCACAAAGCCGAGAUACAGACCUUGGUGGGUCUAAAAUAGAAGUUGACAACAAAAAAGACGAAAAUCAUAUGAAAGCAGAUGAACUUUUUCCCCCAUCUUUAUCCGUUGGCAGUGAAAGCUCUAGUUCAAGCGAUAAAGAUCAUAGUGAAAUUCUCAAUGGAAUUAGUAACAUAAGUCUGAAUUCAGAGAAAGUAGAACAGAGACAACUAGAUCCCUCCCUAAGUUGUGAUGGACGUCAGUGUUUGAGUGAAGUUCCCAGCAGAAGAGAAUGCCCUGCUUCUGGCCACAGUGAACGGAGUCAUGGAGGAACCACGGAAAGCAGCUCGUCUGGGAGCAGAAGCACAGACCAGCCAGCUCAGGAUUCACAGGAGUCCUCAGAAGCAAACACAGUCAGAGACAGAUGCCACCGCAGUGGCACUGAUGGGGAUGAGAGUGGAGACGAUCCGCCUGAAGAGAAGCGAAGCAAACUGAAGAGGAGUCAUGAGCUGGACCUCGAUGAAAACCCGGACUCAGACUUUGACAACGAUGGUUCUCUUCUGGGAUUCAAGCACGGCUCAGGGCAAAAAUACGGAGGAAUUUCAAACUUCAGUCGCCGGCGGGUGAGGUAUCUGCAGAGGAACAUGAAGCAGAAGUCAAAGUCCUUGGACAUGAGACGACAAAUCAGCAUGAAAAACAAGCACAUCUUCUUCACUGAAGAGUCAGAUAAAACUGGUUUUAAGAAAAGCAGAACUUUGAGUAAGGUAGAAAAAUUUCUAAAGUGGGUUAAGGAACCAAUGGAUGAAGAAGCAUCGCCAGAGUCAGUUUCUCAUAACAACAUGCAAGACACUUGCACGAGCAGUGGCUCAGAGGAACCAGAAGUGUCUGUUGAGAAGGGGGAUGACCCAGUGGAAAGGAGUGAGGCAGAGCCUGGACAGCAUCCUACUGUGUGUCCAGCCGGGGAAGUGGGGGCAGAGAAGCAUAACGGGACCAGCCCAGAAGCCGGGACAGAUACAGAGGGCUGCGUGCCCCAGGCUGCUUCGGACCUUCGCCAGGAAGAGGCUGAAGCUGAAAGUCAGAAGAAGAAGAAAAAGAAAAAGAAGAACAAAAAGGGGCUGAGUCUGCCCCCUGAGAUUGCUGCCGUGCCUGAGCUUGUGAAGUACUGGGCUCAGAGGUACAGGCUCUUCUCCCGUUUUGAUGAUGGGAUUAAAUUAGACAGAGAGGGCUGGUUUUCAGUUACUCCUGAGAAGAUCGCCGAGCAUAUCGCGGGCAGAGUCAGCCAGUCCUUGGAGAGUGGCACCGUUGUGGACGCCUUCUGCGGAGUUGGAGGGAAUACCAUUCAGUUUGCUCUAACAGGGAAGAGAGUGAUUGCCAUUGAUAUUGAUCCUGUUAAGAUCGAUCUUGCUCGCAAUAAUGCAGAAAUUUAUGGCGUAGUGGACAAGAUCGAGUUCAUCUGUGGAGAUUUCCUGCAAUUGGCAUCUAGUCUAAAGGCUGACAUCGUGUUUCUCAGCCCACCUUGGGGAGGACCGGACUACGCCACUGCUGAGAUCUUCGACAUCAGCACCAUGAUGUCUCCUGACGGCUUUGAAAUUUUCAGACUUUCCCAGAAGAUCACUAAUAAUAUCGUUUUUUUUCUUCCAAGAAAUGCUGAUAUCGACCAGGUGGCGUCCUUGGCUGGGCCUGGAGGGCAAGUGGAAAUAGAACAAAACUUUCUUAAUAAUAGAUUGAAGACAAUCACUGCUUAUUUUGGGGACCUGAUCCGAAGAUCAACCUCUGAAUCAUAAGUGAGGUUGGACAGAGAGACCAGAAGAUCAUGUAGCAUUCAAUUAUCAUUCACAGGAGUUACUCUCUGUGCUCACUGAUGUUUUGUGCCCAGAGUCUAGUGGGUAUUUGUGCCCAAAUACACAUUUUCCCUCACUGGUGCAGUACUAUGUGAAAUUUGCUUUUAAGCAUCCAUUUAUUUUAUAGUUAGUGUUUUUUAAGUUUCUAUGGGAAAAAAUGAAAUAUAUUUUAUAGAGUAAAAGUUUAUAUUCUUUUUCUAUUAAAAUGGCAGUCAACAAAGG